rnacentral:rRNA from 1 species
GAUCCUGGCUCAGGAUGAACGCUGGCGGCGUGCUUAACACACGCAAGUCGAACGGAACUCCUAUGAACGAGGUUUCGGCCAAGUGAAUAGGAUGUUUAGUGGCGGACGGGUGAGUAACGCGUGAGUAACCUGCCUCAUACAGGGGGAUAACGGUUAGAAAUGACUGCUAAUACCGCAUAAGCGCACAGUACCGCAUGGUACGGUGUGAAAAACUCCGGUGGUAUGAGAUGGACCCGCGUCUGAUUAG